UUAACCUCAGUGUUAACCAAAAUUUUGUCCCUAAAGCUUAUCAAGUUUAUUAAAUAUGUGGCAACUCUUCAUUUCCAGAUUAAUCUUUAGAAGUAAAUAGCUCCAUGAGAGAAAUGACAUAAGAUUUCACUUCUGCUGCUGUGACUGUCACCUUGUCUGCACUUCCAACACAUAUCUUAAGUUUUUCAAGGACUAAUAUAAUGAAUGGGUCAGUUUUUUCCCACAUUAUCAACAAAAAAUUUAUAUUAAUAUGCUUUGGUUCAUUGUUUUUUUUUAUAAUUACAUUGUAAGCAAUUUCACAUAUUCUGGCAAUCAAGAGUGACACAGAAUUCCUUCCAGGUAAAACUAUAGUUUUGUAGCCCUUAAGAUUACAAGAGUGUUCCAAUUAACAUCUACAUACUGAGUGAGAGUGGCUAAACAGCAAGUCCCACACCAACAUAUAACAAGACCUCAUUUCCCUAAGAUCAGGAGCAGCAGACAUGACAUGGACCCAUCAAGGAAGACCAGUCAUUUAUGAAAAAGUGAAUGAAGUAUUAAUAGGAGGCAAUUGUGAAGAAGCUCCUGGAGGCUAAGGUGCUUCUGUAAUCCUUGUCACUUAUUAGACUUUGUAACCUCAUCACUUACUGGUCCAUGGCUCAAUCAGUUUACCUCCCACUUGUGCAGACACUGGCCUCUUCUCACCGUACCCUAUCUCGUGUAACUUGGAGGAGGGAAGCUCUCCCUGCAGGAUGGUAUGAGGGCAUAUCCUACCCUUAAGUGUCUGAGAUUGGCUAGUAGAAAGUGGGCAGCACAUUUUGAUGACUAGAUGUGGGUGAGGUGGUAAACUGCUAAUAAUCACCCUCCCCUUGCCUGCUGCUGCUGCUUCUCUCUCUCUCUCUCUCUCUCUCUCUCUCUCUCUCUCUCUCUCUCUCUCUCUCUCUCUCUCUCUCUCUCUCUCUCUCUCUCUCUCUCUCUCUCUCCUAUGACCUUUCUGACCUUAGAAGGGGAAGAUGUUCACACUCCACUCCCCUGACCAUAGCCAGGUCAGUUCUCCUUGCUUAUUAAGGAGCCAUGCCCCAUCCAAACUCAUAUCAGGAUACAGAGGCUAUCAGUGACAUUGUAGACAAUGAGUGUGAGGCUGCUAUAGUGAAUGGUGAUUCUCAAAUUGGAGCUCAAGAUAAAUCUAAGCGGCUGUAUCAUGUAUCUGACUCAGGGUGGUGACCAAUUUGUACAAAGAAAAGCAAAAACAGUGAAAGUGUUCCAAAAAGUGCCAAUGCCCAAGAAUUAACAAAAAGGGACAGCCAAAACAGCAAUGCAACACAAACACACUGCCUCAGUUUCCACAAAAUUCGCUCACCACUCGACAGGAUAAUGUGGCUGGCAGACGUAACGAGCAAACACCACAACCUCUCCACACAUCCCAGACCGACAUCCGAGUCAAUCAUGGUAAUGGCAAAAGACUACGAUACCAUUCAGUUUCUGACAGAGAUUGAUCAUCCUUAUAAUGGCAACUAUAAUACUCAUGAAAAUCACGCAAGAAAACAAACUGACAAAAGUGUUUAUCAAAAAUUACCUUACGUGUCUGGACAUAAGCUACAUCUAAGACCAUCUGUCAGUAAUAUGGGCAGAGAGAAACCUUCAAUGUGACUCAAAGGAACUAAGGAAGCAAGUCAUUACCAUGUGGGAGGAAACCAGCCUUCCGCAGGAAUUGUCAGAAUUGGGGACAUUGAGUGUGGGAAUGCAAUGGCGUAAAGAUGUGCAGAUUCUGCUCUCAACACCAUGACACAAGUGUGUGCAAGGAGAAAAUACAAACUGGGCUGCAGAUAAUGCACAAAUGCCUGAACUGGCCAGAGCUUAAAAUGUCCCAUGAGACCCAGAACCUCCCUGCACCCAAGAGAAGAGAUUAUUACCCAGCCACCAACCACAGCUGCAUCCCCAUCUCACCUACUCAAUCCUCCUCCUCCCAGAUGGGCCCCAACUAUGCCAUCAGCUACAGCAGCCCUUUCACCCCUCAGCGACUACCCUCCCCUGCCCAGCAGACUACUUCUACCACCAUGACCUCACCACACCUUAGGUCAUGACAAUCCACCAACAGCAUACCUCCCUGUGGUGACCCAAAUAACAUCCCACCCAUCACCUCAACAUGUACAAGUCGCUCAAGCAUCCAGCCAUACAACACCUCACUCACCACCCCAGGAGACAAGCACCACCCACCAUCACCCAACCUCAACAUACACCAUCGGGGAGACAAACGAGCCUGUGCAACAUCCAUCACCGAUCCAAGAUCCAAUGACUAUCAACACAACAGCUAUAAACACCCAAAACAGCCUGAAAGAGGAAGUCAGGACACAACAAUGACAAGAAGUGAAAACACUGAAAUUGAACCAGGAAAUAUUACAAGAGGCAAAUCAAGGUCUGUGAACAUUGGUUGCAUCCUUUCAUGUAACAUUAAAAGAUGAGAUGAGCAAUAUGAAAGCACUUCUUACAGAAUUAACCAGCCAAACCAAAAUACCAUCUUAGACCAUGGCAGCUCUCUCCACACACAUGAAUGGUGACACUACUCCAGAACAGACCCCAACUCCAACACAUCAUUAUCCAAACAAACAAACUCCACAAGGAGGAGUGAGGAACACGACAGAUCACACCACGCUCAGGAAGGAUAAUACCAAUGACCUGACUGUCCACCUCGUCAACAAGAUACACCUGCCACCUCUGACACCCAGCCAGCCACACCUGUCAACUGACCCACCACAUCAGCCAUCACUGUCAACCAACCCAAUGCAGACACAUUCUGUCAGUGAACCCAAUGCAGCCACCACCCCCAUCCACUCAGUGGCCACAGUACAACACACAGGGAUUGACAUUCUCACCUACACCAACAGACAGAAACAAGAUGAUAAGCAUCUUGCAAUGGAACAUCCAACAAAGCAGAAAAUCUGCAGUAUAUACACACUCAUAAUACAGCAAUUACUGUUCUACAAGAGACAUUAUCAAGUGAUGCUUCCAAUAUGAGAUUCGGAAAAUAUCAGCUUUUUCAACAACCUUUUCAACAAGGAGGAUUGUAAGAUCUCAUCACACUUGUUAGGAAAGAUAUACCAGCCAUCCCAGUGGAAAACCCCCCUUAUCUCAGCAAUCAGGUGGAAUCACUCACUGUCAUGAUACACCUCAAUAACAACGCCAAAUUUGAUGUAAAUAACGUGUAUUGCAGGCAAAAGUCACACAUCAACCUGAUCCCCCUGCUUCAAAGCAAUCAUGGACAACUAACACUGUUUGCUGGAGACUUAAACACCCAUCACCCUGUUCUCAAUGGUGGUAUCAGCAAUCACAGAGGUCAGCACAUCUCAAUCAGAGGUCAGCAUCAUCCAAUAUGCUAAUGACAUCAUUCUGUAGACAAACAGGAAAACUUAGCCAAUCAAGAUGCAAGAGGUGCUGAAUGUGCUGACAUCCAAAUGUGAAGAAAUUGGCUUCACAAUCUCGCAAACUAAUACAAAAGCCAUGGCCAAGACAUGCAGCAACCCUCCUAACAAGCUACAGAUACAGGAUCACAACAUUGAAUGGGUUGUCACCUAUAAAUACCUUGGUGUUAUUGCUGCAAGAAACAAAACAUGGCAGGCUGAAGUGCAACAUCUAAAGACCAAAUGUACUAUGAGAAAGUGUCAUCAAAGCACAUCUUGUAAAGGAACUGGAGCUACAAGCAAUGUGAUCCUCAACAGUUACAAAGCUUUGGUGCACUCACUAGUGGAUUAAUCAACAUCACCACCAGUAAACCCAGUGUUGGAAACUACACAGAGCAACAUGCUAAGGGCUGUAUGUGGGGGCACCAAAAUGGACCAAGACGGAAAAUCUUCAAGCUGAAGUUCAAGUAUGAACACUUGCGAACAGAACAGAACAUAACACCAAACUUCCUUAUAAGAACUUGGUGCUCGAGAUGACCAUCAUGACCAUAUCCACUGAGCUCUGCAAUGCCAUCACAAGGGGCAGCAGCCAUACUGAAUGGCUUCGGGGUCACUUGAGAUAAUGUAAGAGUUGCCAUACUCCCACAGGAACUUCAGGCAUGUAUCCUGUGGCAACAAACACCAAUUAAGGCAACUAUUUCACCACUGCACCAGAAGAAACAGGAGUGUAUCACAGCAGAAAUGUGGCAACAGGGACUUAAGAGUACACAUGAAGCAGCAAAUGACAGUACAGUGAGAUAUUACACCAAUGGGUCUGUUGCGCAAGAUGGAAGGUCAGGAGCGGCGUUCAUGUAUUCAGUGAGGGACACAGAUGAUAGCAACAAUCCCACCACCACCACUACCUUCACUGCAUGGGUGACAGACCGCUCCUUCUCCACCCAGGCCAAGUUAAUGGCCAUCAAAAUUGAUGUUGAACAUGCAUGUAACUCUUACAUACUCAUAUCCUCAUAAAUACUGACUCCAGGACAGCCAUUACUAUAUUGUGGAAACAAAACAAUGAAAAUCAACACCUGACGCAAGCCAUUACUACCACAGCCAAAGGCAUCCAAGCAGAAGGAAGAGUGAUCAACAUCAACUGGAUUCAUUUUCACGUUGGAAUCUCUGGUAAUGAAAAAUCUUAUCUGGUUGCCAAGCAAGCAGCUUAACUUCCAUCUGUGAGCCUUAUCAUCCCUAGAACCCAGCAACAACUUUAACAGAAAACAGAACAUGCAGAGAGGAGGCAUCAGCAGGAAAGGGAGACACAGCAAGGAAUACAUGAACAUUCAUGUAUGCAUAAGAUUUUAUGUAGUAGAUUUUAAUCCUCUCAAAAGUGGAUAAUAUAGCAAUUCACACCAAAAUAAAAAUAAAUGCAUAUAUGUAAAUAUUCAUUUAGAAUACAUAGAUAUUAAUAAUAAUAUUUUUAAAAUGUAUUGAUGAUAAAUGUAAUGUUAAAAAUACUGGCCUGGUGCAACAAAGUCUCUUUCACAUUUCACAUAUAUUGUAUAUUACAUCUUGUAAAUAAAAAUUAAGAAUAGGAA